rnacentral:misc_RNA from 1 species
UCUGUUUCAAAUUACCUUUUCAAUUUUUAUGAAUAUAUUUUCAAAUAUUUAUUUUACAUGUUUCUAGUACAACAUAACAUUAUUGCUAUCUUCUCUUAUCAAUUAUCAAUAUAUCUUCAAAUUGUGGUUAUGUUUUUGGAAAUGUUAUUUUUGGUCUAAUGCCUCUGCUGAAACAGCUUUCUUUUAUUGCCUUUAGGAAAAUAGUGAAUGGAAUGAG